UGGGGCAGGGCCGGCAGGCUCGAGACGCCGCUCGCAGUCGACAAAGAUUGUAGACACGUAGCUAAAAGCCUAAAACCAUGUCUGACUGCACCACAUAAAAGAUAAUAAGGAAGGAAGAAUAAAGGCAGUGUCAUUAAUCACUUUAUACAAUCGGUGACAGCUACGUACAUCACAUGAGUUGUGCUGCAGUUGGCUUCUUUUGGGCAUUUGGUGCAGGGCUUGGCAUUCAAAUUGAAGGAAAAAAGAAUGAAGAUUUGGAAUCUUUAGUCUUCCAAGUGUUGAAAUUGGAUGGCAAAGCUCAGGGAUGGAGCUCAGCCCCAGCGCAUAAUAGUGAGUUAACGGUGGAGUUCGGAGUGAGGUGGGAUGAGUGUGAAAGCGAAAAUUGCAGAAAGGAAGAAGAGAGUAGAGAGAACCUCUUGAGCAAAUUGCAAAGGGCCUUCAACAGAAGCAGUCCAAAGUCUGCCUCCUGCACCAUAGAGCUGAUCAUUCCACGGCAGCAGCCUUACCAUGUUUUUGGAUUCAGUUGACCGGCUUGCAGAGGCCGGUUACCAUGUAGGGUGAAAGAAAAUUACAUUUUUUUUUCAAGCAAAUGAAAGAAAGAAAAUAUAAGCAAGACUUCUCUCCUAUUUUUAUAGUGGCAAUUACCUGUUGACUUUUCUUUUUCGUGGCGUGGACACGACAUGAAUCCAAUGUACUUUUAAUCAA